UACGAAGGGGGCUAGCGUUGCUCGGAAUCACUGGGCUUAAAGGGUGCGUAGGCGGCUUAUCAAGUAGGGUGUGAAAGCCCCCGGCUUAACCGGGGAAUUGCGCCCUAAACUGACGAGCUGGAGUGGGACAGGGGUGUGUGGAACUUCCGGUGGAGCGGUGAAAUGUGUUGAUAUCGGAAGGAACGCCGGUGGCGAAAGCGACACACUGGGUCUCAACUGACGCUGAGGCACGAAAGCCAGGGGAGCGAACGGG
rnacentral:rRNA from 1 species